GAAAAAAUGUGUACAAGUGCAUGUGACUAAAAAGUAUAUAUCUCAGUGAAGUGGUUGGCGAAGCCUGAUGCAGAUAUCUUACUUUGCACCUUUGCCGUCAACCCAACACAUGCAAUAGAUGGUUGUCCACUGCAGGAGUUUGUCCUCCCAUACCAAGUGCCGUUUUCCAGAUUAGGAUUCGGCACUUAGUCAUAUUUUAUAUAAAACCUGGUAUUAAACUGACUCUAAUGACCCAGUCAUAUUUUAUAUAAACCCAGCCAUAUUUUAUAUAAUAGCCCAGCGGUAGAAUUUUAAAUUAAUUUAAACUGCAACUUCAACAGACACAACUGCUUGAUUAACGGCCAACCACCCAAAGCUCCACGUCGCAGCUGUGCUGGCCAGAUCAGCUGUCUGGACAACACAAACAGUUGAGCGGUUGUUAGCUUCAGACGCUCAUUGAGCAUCAGGAGAAUUGCAGGCUGUGAUUCUACUGCCGAAAGCACCUGCGUCUGCCAGCCGUGCGUUCUUCGUUUACUGGUUGUUCCGCACUUGUGGUGGCUUCGAGGCCGAGUAUAUGCGACACCCAGGAGAAAGGCGAACAGCUGGAUAGCAGCUUAUGUUUUUUUUGUUUGUUGAUUCUUGUUAGGUUACGUUGUUCUGUCCCAAUUAUGCAUCUAUAAGUGAUAGUCCGUCAAUGUUGUAAGUGUACUAUGAUGUGGCGAGAAAGUUGAACCAACAACUUUUCUUGGGCCCUCAUAAUACAAGUACCGCUGUACUAUUGUAUAAAAAUAGAAGUGACAAUCAUUUAAGAAUGCAUGUAAGGCAACACAUAUAGGCA